AUUGAACGCUGGCGGCAGGCCUAACACAUGCAAGUCGAACGAGUGGCGGACGGGUGAGUAAUGUCUGGGAAACUGCCUGAUGGAGGGGGAUAACUACUGGAAACGGUAGCUAAUACCGCAUACCAUCGGAUGUGCCCAGAUGGGAUUAGCUUGUAGGUGAGGUAACGGCUCACCUAGGCGACGAUCCCUAGCUGGUCUGAGAGGAUGACCAGCAAAACUGGAACUGAGACACGGUGCAGACUCUUAUGGGCGGCAGGAGUGGGGAAUAUAGCACAAUGGGCGCAAGCAUGAUGCAGCCAUGCCGCGUGUAUGAAGAAGGCCUUUGGGUUGUAAAGUACUUUCAGCGGGGAGGCGUUACCCGCAGAAGAAGCACCGGCUAACUCCGUGCCAGCAGCCGCGGUAAUAC
rnacentral:rRNA from 1 species